AAAAGUUUUAAGUUAAAUUAAAAACUAGUAACCUUCAAAGUUAAAAAUAAAUAUUAAACUUU
rnacentral:tRNA from 1 species